UUCAAAUGUAAAUUAAAACGCUUCAGUGCCAACGGCAAAUUCUGAGGCACUCGCAACCAACCAAUAAAAAAAGUGUGCAAAAAUAGAAACAAAUCAUAGUAGAAAAAUAAAAAGAAGAAGAAGAAGAAGCAAAAGAAAUCAAAGUAACAAAGUAGACGGUUAGGUGCAACCAACCGUAAAGUGUCAUGAUUAUCUUGGAAUUUUUCUUGUGCAAGAAAAACAAGAAAAUUUGAAUUUUUAUGGUGCAAUCAAAUAAUUAUUUUGUGCACUAACCAAAAAGUGGAUAAAAAGAGUGAAAAACAGCGAAGAGUGCUUCUCAUUGAGCAAAAAAAAAAAAAAAGAAAACAAAUAUUAAAAGGAUAACAACAACCAAGAGGCUUCGCAACUAAACGCCAAGUUCUUCAUAAUCAUUAGUAUUUGCAUUUAAAUGACACAAUUCCCGACAAAUGUUGUUCCAACGCCUGUUUCCCUUGUUGCGGUGAUGGGCAGGGAGUUGCUCUAAAAACUCCCAUGUCAUUCAGUCGACCAACAGUGGCCAUACUUGUUGUCAACUGAGCCUGUUGUUCAGUGAUUUUCACAAAAAAAGCGAAAUCUAACAACAACGCAUACUUUCAUCAAAUGACAGCAAAGUUUUUCAAUUUCAAAAUACAAUUAAAUUAUAAUUAAAACAACAACUACUAAACAAGAGUGCUUUAAAAUUGUUCAAGUGAUACUUUCCCCCCUCAAAAAAAGAAAGCAAAGUGAAUAUAAAAAGUGUGAUGUGUUUUAAUUAAAAGUUUUCCACAAAAAAAAAGUAUCAAAUGUUUUAAAUUAGAAAAAAUACAUGCCAACGCCUUUGAGGGAUAUCUCAGUGAUUGGAAGUGAAAUACAAAAAAUAAUAAAAAACCAAUUCACUUUUCUAUUUGUGGUUAUUCUCUCCCUCCACUUAAUUUUCAAAUAGUUUAUGUGUGACAAAAAACAAAAAAAAAACAUUAGAUAAACUUUCACUUGCUCACUUCCAGCCACCCUCAUCACCAGCAAAGGAUAUUUUUUGCUGCUUUACCCAGAAUUGAUUGAUUCAUUUCAUUCUAUUGUGCAGCAUUAUAAUCUCAAUGGAAUACAUUUUUAUUGCUGGCGGAUAAUAUCGAUAAAGGAUAAAAAAAAAAACUUUGGGAAAGAAGCGCCAUUGGCUGGUAACGAGGGACUGACAUUUAAAACUAGAAAUUCAUAACUGCACACACUUUGGCACGACACGAGAAAAAUCCCCACCAGACCAGAUCCAAGGGACUAGCAGCAGCGCACCAGCGUCCGCCACAACCGUCACAACAUCUGUCUCCGGCAACUGAGCAUUGUAGUACAGCGACGACCAUAUGGAAGAGAAAAAAAUCAUUAAUUUGGUUUUAUCGAUGGUUUAGCAUGUGAGCAUUUACAAGGCUUA